rnacentral:lncRNA from 1 species
AUGCAGAAAGGGUGCUGGCUUGCUUUUAUCACAUCAAAGCCUGAUAACAGCAAUUCUGUGCUUACCAACCUCCCUCAUGAGCGUAUACAGCAUCCACAGAUGCCUUUGAAGACUUCUGCUGAGGAUCAUGGACCAUGUCCUAGUUCUCUAAUCCUGCAAGGAGAUAACAGUCCCACAAUGGAGGAAAUGGGCAAAAGUGAUGGAAUCAGUGAGCUGAAACAUCUGCACAUCACCAGCAGCUGCCACUGCCCUCAAGGAAAUCUUCCAGAGAAGUCCUUUGAAGGCAAAUUGCUUACCCAAAAAAGCACUUGGAUAAGUGAAGGAUACAGGAGAGUAGAAGAGAGAUCCCAAGAUAUAUUAUGGCCUGCAGAGGACAGUGGUUAUUUACAAGUAUCUCUAGAGCAGGCAAAGACAACCCAAAAGGUUUUUACUGAGAAAAAGAGUUUCCUCUCUAUUUCUUUUCCACCUCUGUCAAUGCUGGGAAUGUCAGGAUAG